rnacentral:rRNA from 1 species
GGAGCGCAACUGACGCUGAAGCUCGAAAGUGCGGGUAUCGAACAGGAUUAGAUACCCUGGUAGUCCGCACGGUAAACGAUGGAUGCCCGCUUUUCGGUCAUUAGACCGUGAGGCCAAGUGAAAACAUUAAGCAUCCCACCUGGGGAGUACGCCGGCAACGGUGAAACUCAAAGGAAUUGACGGGGGCCCGCACAAGCGGAGGAACAUGUGGUUUAAUUCGAUGAUACGCGAGGAACCUUACCCGGGCUUGAAUUGCAGAUGAAGGAUCCAGAGAUGGUGACGCCCUUCGGGGCAUCUGUGAAGGUGCUGCAUGGUUGUCGUCAGCUCGUGCCGUGAGGUGUCGGCUCAAGUGCCAUAACGAGCGCAACCCCUCUCUUCAGUUGCUAUCAGGCUAUGCUGGGCACUCUGGAGACACUGCCACCGCAAGGUGUGAGGAAGGUGGGGAUGACGUCAAAUCAGCACGGCCCUUACGUCCGGGGCUACACACGUGUUACAAUGGGGGGUACAGAAAGCCGGCUGCCCGCAAGGUCAGUCCAAUCAAGAAAGCCUCCCUCAGUUCGGACUGGGGUCUGCAACCCGACCCCACGAAGCUGGAUCGCUA